rnacentral:rRNA from 1 species
UAGGGAAUCUUCCGCAAUGGACGCAAGUCUGACGGAGCAACGCCGCGUGAGUGAAGAAGGAUUUCGGUUCGUAAAACUCUGUUGUUAGAGAAGAACAGCGCAUAGAGCAACUGCUAUGCGUGUGACGGUAUCUAACCAGAAAGCCACGGCUAACUACGUGCCAGCAGCCGCGGUAAUAUGUAGGUGGCAAGCGUUGUCCGGAGUUAUUGGGCGUAAAGCGAGCGCAGGCGGUCAAUUAAGUCUGAUGUGAAAGCCCCCGGCACAACCGGGGAGGGUCAUUGGAAACUGGUUGACUUGGGUGCAGAAGAGGAGGGUGGGUUUCCUUGUGUAGCGGAAAGGUGCAUAGAUAUAUGGAAGAACACCAGUGGCGAAGGCGACUCUCUGGUCUGUAACUGACGCUGAGGUUCGAAAGCGUGGGUAGCAAACAGG